rnacentral:lncRNA from 1 species
UGAUCCAUAUAGACUAGAAAUUACUAUCCUCACUAUACAGAAAAUGGAACUGAAGAGCAGAGGAAUCUGUUAACUUGCAGAAGGUCACAUCGGCAAUAAAGGGUAAAGCUCCCAUUUGAACCCAGUUCUGCCAGACCCUGGAGACUAUGUUACUAAUCACCAUGGCACCUGGCUCCCACUUGCUAUUUCUGAGCUCAUCUUCCCCAUCUGAAAAAAAAAAAUAACCCAUGCCUACCUUCCAGGAUUUCUAGAGAGGAGCAUAUGAAACCGUGGAUCGAAGGGGCUUUGUACAUUAAAAGAAAUGUAAAAAAUUUUUACUUAUGAUC